AUCCUUUGGUUCAUGAGUGUGAUGACUGGGUGGUCACAUUAUUGUGUGAGAUGUGCCUCCCUCUAAACCUUGUUACAACUUCGGCAUAUUACCCAUCUGAUG
rfam:Ictidomys tridecemlineatus contig061433, whole genome shotgun sequence.